GUAAAAGUGAAAAGAAAUCUAUGAAAUUUUAACACAAGGUUUAUGACCACAAAAGGAAGGUUGGGAUUGAUUUUGGGAGUUUUGGUCCCAACAUUUUAGGAAUUAGGGGCCAAAAAGGGCCUAAAUAAGCAUUUUCUUGGUUUUCGCACUAUAACUUUAGUUUAAGUUAAUAGAAACUUAUGAAAUGUUGACACAAGGUUUAUGACCACAAAAGAAAGGUUGGGAUUGAUUUUGGGAGUUUUGGUUCCAACAGUUUAGGAAUUAGGGGCCAAAAAAGGGCCCAAAUAAGCAUUAUUCUUGGUUUUCGCACAAUAACUUUAGUAUAAGUGAAUAGAUAUCUAUAAAAUUUCAACACAAGGUGUAUGACCACAAAAGGAAGGUUGGUAUUGAUUUUUGAAGUUUUGGUCCUAACAGUUUAGGAAUAAGGGGCCCAAAGGGUCCAAAACUAAACUUUGUUUGAUUUCAUCAAAAAUUAAAUAAUUGGGGUUCUUUGAUAUGCUGAAUCUAACUGUGUAUGUAGAUUCUUAAUUUUUGGUCCCGUUUUCAAAUUGGUCUACAUUAAAGUCCAAAGGGUCCAAAAUUAAACUUAGUUUGAUUUUAACAAAAAUUGAAUCCUUGGGGUUCUUUGAUAUGCUGAAUCUGAACGUGUACUUAGAUUAUUGAUUAUUGGUCCAGUUUUCAAGUUGGUCCAGUUUGGGGUCCAAAAUUAAACUUUUUUUGAUUUCAUCAAAAAUUGAAUAAUUGGGGUUCUUUGAUAUGCCAAAUCUAACUGUGUUAGUAGAUUCUUAAUUUUUGGUCCCAUUUUCAAAUUGGACUUCAUUAAGGUCCAAAGGGUCCAAAAUUAAACUAAGUUUGAUUUUAACAAAAAUUAAAUUCUUGGGCUUCUUUGAUAUGCUGAAUCUAAACGUGUACUUAGAUUUUUGAUUAUGGGCCCAGUUUUCAAGUUGGUCCAAACAGGAUUCAAAAUUAUUAUAUUAAGUAUUGUGCAAUAGCAAGAAAUUUUCAAUUGCACAGUAUUCAGCAAUAGCAAGAAAUCUUCAAUUGUACAGUAU
rnacentral:lncRNA from 1 species